GUGCGUGCGUGCGUGCGUGCGUGCAUGCGCGUGUGUGCGUACAUACCUGUAUGUAUGUGUGUGUACCUACGUACGAGUGUGUGUCUCUGUAUGUGUCAUUCAGUGAACAGGCAGCGAAGCAGCUUCAGAAGAACAGGAAGCACAUGCAGCAGAAGUUCAGUGUGAACGAGGACCGGAGAGCAGAGGCUAAGGAGGAGCUGUCCCAGAUGGCUACGCUGCACCCCAAUGCCAAGGUCAACUUGGAGGAGCUGGAGCAGAAGACCUUCAUGGUGGAGCAGAGGAUGCGAGAGCACUUGAAGAUAGACGUUCAGAUAGAUCCAUGUACAAUGAUGGAAUGGGCUUCUUUACUAGUGUUACUGAUGCAACACAUCAGUAUCUCCUCGGAAAGUGACUGAGAAUCCUAAGAAAGACGAGCGAGAUGAAAGCCCUGGCCAUUCUGAAGGAUAAAAGAACAACUAUUGAAGCAGAAUUACACCAGGAGCAAACCAACACAGAAAACGCCAGAUGGGGACUUCAUAAGGAAUUUGAGAAAGUGUGAAGUUUAAGGUAGACUUCACCGUCAAGAUAGAACUGCCAAAGGGGGAGGAGUUGCAGUAUACUGCAGAGAUAGCCUGCAAAGUAAUGUCAUACUUUCCAGGUCGCAGUUGCAAAUGAGAACUUGUUCUCAACUAGCCUACCUGGUUAAAUAAAGGUGAAAUAAAAAAAAAUAAAAAAGGGAGCAACUCAGUGAUUUUCCUACGGAACACAACAACACUUCAGUUUGUCUGUAAAAGGAACGGAGGCUAAAACUUGCCCAUCUAAAUACAGUCAAGGAAUUACACCAAGCUGUUACCGACGGGUGUAACCAUGCCUUGAGUAGGAUCGCAGACCUCAGUGCUAAGUCCAAAGAGUACAGAACAGGCCCUCACAUGGAGGAAACAGCAGCCGCUAUACCAGAUGUCAUUGAAGAACUACAGUUCGUCUUUGAUGCCGUAGAGUUUCAAAACCAAACAGCUAUGUUGAUCAUGAACACCUUGGAACGUGAUAUCACCAACUGUCAACAACGGAUGGAGCCAACAGUGGAAACUCAUUCUACUCUGUUCACAACCAGACAGGAGAAAAUGGAGGAAACCAACGUAACUAAACACUGGGUCAUUUGGUUGAAUACAAGGUGGUUUGGUUUAUGUUGUACUCACUGUAUUUGACUUUAGUAUCACUGUUAUUCCUAAUACAGAGCAUUUAGCUGGAAUUGUGGAUUUUAUCUCUUGAGACCAUGUACAAUUCUGAUUCCCCUGAAAUGUUGACUUGCC
ensembl:lncRNA